UACGAGAGGCCCAAACGUUAUUCGGAAUUACUGGGCUUAAAGAGUUCGUAGGCGGCGCAGAAAGUAGGGUGUGAAAGCCCUCGGCUCAACCGAGGAAUUGCGCUCUAAACUACUGUGCUUGAGGAAGCUAGAGGUGAGCGGAACUGAAGGUGGAGCGGUGAAAUGCGUUGAUAUCAUCAGGAACACCGGAGGCGAAGGCGGCUCACUGGGGCUUUUCUGACGCUGAGGAACGAAAGCCAGGGGAGCGAACGGG
rnacentral:rRNA from 1 species